rnacentral:sRNA from 1 species
GCCUGGUGCAGUGGCGCACGCCUGUAAUCCCAGCAACUAGGGAGGCUGAAGCAGGAGGAUAGCGAAUUCAAAGCCAGCUUCAGCAAAAGUGAGGUAUAAGCAAAUCAGUGAGACCCUGUUUCUA